rnacentral:lncRNA from 1 species
UUUUUUUUGUAAACAUAAAAUAGUAGGUUUUGACUAUAUUAAAACUUGAUUUGUCACUUGAUCCUUGACAUUUCUUUAAUUUAUGAAGUAUUGUUUCCCUGUUCAACAAGAAAUAAUUGAAUAAUUAAAUCUGGUCCAAGUAUGUGUGACUGACAAUGAGACAAUUCUCCAUCCAAGUCAUAAUUAGGUUCAGAACUACCCCUUAAUGAUAUGAAUAUCCCUUUUAUGAGGGGUCAAUAUCAGUUAUAAUAUUUUUUGUUGUUGUAAAAACACUUUUAGUACAAAAGGGCUAAUAUUUUCCCAAAGAACUAUAAUAUCUAUAUGGUAUUAAAUGAUCAAAACAUGUCCAAGAAUUUUGUAAUAUUCCAGGACUUUAACCAUGUUAACACAUUUACGUUAACAGUUUAAUAUUAUUCAAAAUAAGUGGACCCAGUCUUUUAGAACAGUUGUUUAAAAUAUAAUGUAUUUCUCCUCUUUUUGAAUAAAAAAUUCUAAGUUUUCAAAGGUUUUAUAUAGUAGCACUAUACAAAUCCUUAGUAUUUCUGUUUUCGUUUCUACAACAGUAAACAUGGUAAAAUGACCCCUUCAAGGCCCUUGUCUGAGGGAUAACCUGAUAAUAACAAACUUGGGUCAAAGUAUGGCCUUUUACACAAGGCUUUGAUCCAGACCAAACAGCAAGCUAUAAGGGACCACAACUUAAAAUUGUACACAAUUCGAACAGGAAACCCAACGAUCCAAUUUAUAUUUCCAAACGGGAAAAUACCAAUGAAUCACAUCAACAAACGAUAACUGCUGAACGACAGGUCCCUGAAUCAAUCAGGACAGGUGCACAAACCUGCAGCGUGUAUGACCGUCAGCAUACAAUAAAAUUGCAGUUGAAGGCAAAUCCUUCACGAAUCAGAAGUUCUUUGUACUUUAUUUUAACAACGAACAUUUUUUGAUAGGGAAUAUAAGUCAGGGGGAAAGAAACCAGUGUUUUGAUCUGUACAGGUAUUUCCUUUGUUAUACAUUUAUAUCGGAGCACUCCCACUUGGAAUAAAUUGGUUUCAUGCUGAAACAAAUAUUCUCUCAGAUGUUUACAGUGUUGUAGGGUGCUUAUAGGUUUAAAAUCGUUAUAUACAGGUUAUACUGUGAUUUUAAAAACAAAUGUUGAGAUCUUUUUAUAAUAUUUACAAAAAAAACGGUGUGGGAAAUGGACACGAUUACAUUUCCGGAUGCGGGAAGCUGGAAUAUAAUAAAAAUUAAAAAAAUCUGUUUUUAAAAAAAUAGGUGCGGGCGGGUCCGUCGAACAAGGAAUUAAAUUGGUGUGGCCCAAUGUUCAGCCAAAGUAAGAUCUACAAAUAAGUCAACACGAACAAAAUGGUCAGUUGACCCCUUAAGGAGUUUUUGCCCUUUACAGUCAAUUUUUAACAAUUUUCAUUAAUUUUGUUCAAGUUCAUUAUAGAUGGAGAUAACUGUAAGUAGUAGGAAUGUUCAGUAAAGUAAGAUCCAUAAACACAUCACCAUCACCAAAACACAAUUUGGUCAUUAAUCCAUCUGUGUCUUUUUUUUUAAUAUGCACAUAUGCACAAGGUGAGCGACACAGGCUCUUAAGAGCCUCUAGUUAUAUUGUAACUAUAACAGUUGUAAACAAGUUAAAUUAAUCAGCAAAAAACAAGCUGCAGAAACUGACAAAUAUAAUGCUAAAAAACAUGAAUAAUUUAAUCUAUUAAAAUUGCACUUUCAGAAC